AGUAGAGAGUGGUGGAGAGAAAGAGAGAAGGUCAGAGAGGUCAGUAAAGUCCAGACCAUGCACAGCUUCAGGUCAGGUGAAGAAUGGGAAGCUAUUGGCAGAUUUUAAGCAGGGGAAUGUCAUGAUCUAAUGUUUUCAAAAGACCACUCUAGCAGGAGUGUGGUGGAGUGAGAGUGGGUGUGGGAAGAGCAGUUAUAUGACCAUUUAAGCGAUCUUAGCAGACAUGAUGGCAGCUCUGCAAUGAAGACCAGGAGAUGAACACGGGAUACAUUUUGGAGUUGUAGCUGAUCGGGCAUACUGAUGGAUUAGAGGGGGGUAGCAGUAAGCAAGUGGUUGAUGCUGUUAGCUGGGACUCAACUGGGGCUAUCUGCCAGAACUCACACAUGUGGUCUCCUCAUGUGGCAUGGACUCCCUCACAUCAUGGCAACCUAAGACUUCUUAUAUAGCAGCUCCAGGCUCCAAAGGGGUCUUUGAAGAGUUCACCCAGGAGCUUCAAAAUGAGGAACAGUGCUUGCAAUUUCCUUGAAUACUAAGAACAUCCAGCUAUUUGUAGACAGAUAAAAGAGAGCAGCCCCCAGAGGUGCUGAUCCAGCCAAGAUAGCUCAUCCAGUUCUCAACAGGACUAAAGGACUUAUCCUAUGCCUAGUUUUUCACUCCCCUCAGAGGGUCAGGUGAACUGGGGAGCAAGAGGAACUGGCGCCUUUCCCUACUUCUCUUUCAAUUCGUUUAUUGAGGUAACUGCACUGGGGAAAAGAUUAUAUCCAAAACUUUUGGAUUGCUCGACAUUAGAUGUUAACUCUGAGCUAAUACUAAUUUCCAGGGACCCAGAAUGAACUUAUCAAUGGAUAUCAGGAAUGGAGAUGACACAUGAAUAAGCACAGUAACAAGGAUUUCCCCUCACCAGGAUGACGUGGCCUUUGCCAUUGCUGAGAACCCAUUUUGCACGCAAUGGUAUGCCUACCAUUUAAUGCUAACAAAGAUGAUACUUCCCAUUCCUUUCUUUCCUGCUCAAGAACAUGUUGAUAUACUAAUCUUGAAGCAGAAGAAACCAAGUUUUGAGGUGUUUUUGAAGUCAAAGUCUCCAAACUAUGAUUCUUGCUCACAAGUUGACCAACACAAUGAAAAUUGUUGCAAAAAUGUAAUCUUUAGUGAAAAAAACUGUCUGGGAGCCAUCUUGGCCAUAGCAUCCUGA
rnacentral:lncRNA from 1 species